GCACAGCCAGUGUGUAUAUGUUCACCUCGAGGUCGAAUUUGACCGCCGUAAUAAUAAAAACAAUAUCACGUACCGGUGAAAUUUUAUGAUAUAUCUGUGUUACCUUCUACUGUGAAUGUAUGGGCGAAAAAUUACUGCCGAAUUCAACAUAUUAGUUUGACCUCGUUUCCAGUGUUUGCUGCGAAAAAAUGCCAACGAACUAUAAAAGGAAAAACUCAAAUCGUGGAAAUUAUACUGAAGAAAAUCUCAGACGGGCAAUUAAAGAUGUCAGAAAUGGUUGUUCUGUCAAUGGCGCUUCAAAAAAACUAUGAAAUUCCUAGAAAAACCCUUGAAAGGAAAAUAAAAAAUAAUGUGUCCACAACUGGUAAAAUGGGACCGAAUAGCAUGUUGGGUGAGUCAAAUGAAAACAAAUUGAUUCAACAUAUUAAAAAAGCGCAAAAAUAUGGUUUUCCAAUGAGGAUACCCGAUGUACGAAAACUUGCGUACGAUUUCGCGGAGAGUCUACAGAUCAAUCAUAAGUUCAAUAAAGAAAAGGGAGCUGCCGGUUCUGAUUGGUUUAGGUCUUUUUUAAGAAGACACCCCGAUUUGUCCAUUCGCAAGGCAGAAGGUGUUUUCCUAGGGCGAGGUGAGGGCAUGAACCGUUUAGAUGUAGGAAAUUAUUUCAAACUUCUGCAAGAAAUACUGGAAGAAAAUAAUCUUUUCGAGAAACCUCGGUGCAUCUAUAACGUUGAUGAAACAGGCCUGCAACUUAAUAAUCGACCUGGCCAUGUUUUAGCCGAAAAAGCAGCAAAGGAUGUUGUUACAGUAACAUCGGGGGAAAAGGGUGAGACAAUCUCGUGCAUCGCAUGCUGUAAUGCAGAGGGUGUUUUUCUGCCACCAGUCUGCAUAUUUAAAGGCAAGAAUUUGAAGAGUGAGUGGACCGAUUCAGUGCCGCCUGGCUCACAUAUUGUCAUGUCUCAAAAAUCAGCCUAUGUUACUGCUAAAAUUUUUUUGGAUUGGUUCAAAAACCACUUCUUGCCUCGUAAAAGGAGAAGACAUUACUAAUUCUUGAUGGGCAUGCAUCUCAUUGUUCCUGUGUUGAACUUCUAGAAACAGCUGAGGCAAAUAAUGUCAUUUUGUUGUAUACCACUCAUUAUUUGCAACCUCUCGAUAGAGCUUUGUUUAAGUCUUUGAAGUCAUUCUACUAUCAAGCUUGUAGAGAAUGGAUGCACAGUCACCCGGGAAGGAAAUUAGGGCGUCUUCAAUUUGGUGAAGUUCUAAUGAAAAGCUGGGGAAAGUCAGCGACCGCUGGAAAUGCAAUGUACGGCUUCAGAGCCACUGGCAUAUUUCCAUUUAACCCCGAUUCCAUACCGGAUUAUGCAUACACAGUUUCUGAUCGAAUAAUAAACAGCGAAACCACAGGACGCCAGGAAACACUCACACAAGUAAUAAACAGUCAACAUUUCAUUUCUCAAGAAAAUAAGGCGGCAGAACCACAAGAAGUUAGACACCCAAUCAAUAUGAUGGAUGAUGCAGUGCCAUCCUGUAGCCGUGCUGACACAUCAGAACCUCCUCGAUGUACAACUCCAGUGGAAGGAACAACUCUUCCAGAUUUGCCACCUGGGAAACUUCUUGAUCAGAUUAAUCCCACACCCAAACUAGUUGUUUCUGCAAAAAAACGAGCAAAGAAGGUUGCUACCCUUUUAACCUCUCCUGAACAUAUUGCAACUGUGAGAGAGCGGUCCGCAAAAAGAAAAAUAAAAAACUCAACGACCCCACAAAAUAUAAAAUUCGAGGAAAGACGAAUGUUCAAAAGGGAAAACGCUCACCUUCACCUAGCUCUGAUGAUGAGGAGGACAUAGAAAUUCAGUAUGAAGAGGAAAGCGAUACCCUUUCCGAAGUGGAUGAUACGGCAGUGCGGGAUGCGGAGAAAGCUACAACAACACCCGAAAAAAGGAAGAUUGGUUGCAGUGCAUAAUAUGCCAAAAGUGGUUUCAUGAAAAUUGCGCUCAUUAUAUAAAUACUUGCCAAAAUUGUGGUCAAUCUGCGUUUCAAAAGAAGCAAAAUACUUGCUAAUGACUAUCUUUUUUAUUAAUCCUAUGAAUAAUAUGUUAAUUUCAGAUGUUUUUUUAUUUAUUUUUUUUUUAGACGGUGGCCGUCUCUUCCUCACUGCAUUGGCCAACUCUCCCCAUCAAACAGGGAGAGAUGGCCACAUGUAGCUUUUUUCUAUACUAAUAAUAAUAAAAAAAAAUAAAAGUA
rnacentral:lncRNA from 1 species